CUGACUUCAGUUGCAGCUCCUCCCUUCACUCCACUUCUGAUAAAUGAAUAUUAAUGACGUUUCCAUCACGUGUGCCAGGACUCGCCCAUUUACUAUAGGAAAGCGCGUUAGAUGAUAUCAGUAGUACACAAGUACAGAAGUACACAACAAGACCCACAAUUACAGCAAAGGCUAGCAACAUCUGCCACAACAUCAAUGCCAGUGCCGACAGAUCUAUGGAGAAAGAAACCACCCACACCGUUGAGUAAACAAGCAGCACAAUUCCAACAAUGAGGUUGCAACUGUGAGGAAUAAAAAUACAUGGUUGUAGAUGCAGUGCACUAGAUGGAAGAGAACUCGGAAUGCCGCUCUAGUUCUAUGGCAAAAAUCUUAAAAGGCC